GACGUAGGUUCCGAGCGUUAUCCGGAUUUACUGGGCGUAAAGCGCGUUCAGGCGGUUUGGCAAGUCGGGCAUGAAAUCUCUGGGCUCAACCCGGAGAGGUUGUCCGAUACUGCUAAACUGGAGGGCAGUAGAGGGUGGUGGAAUUCCGGGUGUAGUGGUGAAAUGCGUAGAGAUCCGGAGGAACACCAGUGGCGAAAGCGGCCACCUGGACUGCACCUGACGCUGAAACGCGAAAGCUAGGGGAGCGAACGGG
rnacentral:rRNA from 1 species